CAGAAAUCCACCGUAACCAAUCCAAAACACAACACCAAACCAAACCUUCAUCUUACAGUGUUCUUGUCUUGCUGUAGUGGUCCCCCACAACACCGAUCACCUUCCUUCUUUUGCUGCUUUUCUCUUGCUGCUCAGGUACUUGAUUUGCACCAAUUGCUCAGCUCGUGCAACUUAAUUCUCAUGAAUUGCAAGUUUUGAUAUUACCUUCUCUCAAGUUUGAAACUCUAAAAAUUGGAACCCCAACCAGAAGACGAACAAUCGAUGCAGCACCUUCUCUGGAAUUCGAACCACCACCGUUCCUCCUCCUCUCCGUCGAAGCAGCACCACCGUCGUGCUUGUCUCGUCCUCUCCUCUCUCUCAGUCAACAAGUUUCUAGGUUUCUAACGUUAAUUGGGGAUUGGGUUUUAAUUUGGGGAUUAGGUUUUUAGUUUAGGGAUUACUGUUGGGGAUUUAGUUAGGGUGUUUUUUUAUUUUAUCUAAAAAAUAUGCAAUUCCACCUAGGUUGCCCCGUCAGCUUCCGUUAAUUGACUCAGCACUUAAUUGAUUAACCGAAUUAAACGGCAAAGGCCAAAAGUUGGGUAUUAUUUUCACACUUGGGGUGUUUUUCCACAAAAAUAUUUUAUAGGAGCUUAAACAAAAGAAGUCAUAUUUUAGAGAGACCUCCAACAUAUUUAAGCCUAUAUUUUAUAUGAACUUGAUUACUUGGUUGAAA